CAGCUCUAGAACCGAUUCAUGAGGGCCUUGAUCCAAGCCAGCACACCACUCUCCUCUUCUCCAUCUGCCUGCUUCUCGGCGUCCUCGGCAUGGCGGUGGCUGUGGUCGCGGUGGCCGUGGCCGUGGCCGUGGCCGUGACCGUGGCCGAACCUCCUUCUCCUCAUGAUCGCCUUCCUGAACCGCCGGACCAUCUCUUCCACCUGUUCAUCUUCAUCCUCGUCGUCGUUGUCCCCGCCGUGCUCAGCGUGACGGAGCCGCUUCCUCACCAUAUUCUUCUCCUCGUCGUCCUCUUCGUCGUGGUGGUGGAAGUGGAACCGCUUCAUGCUCAUGCCCUCUGGGGCAGCCUCGUCCGGGCCCUCCUCCUCGUCGUGGUGGUGGUGGUGGAGACGGUGGCGGCGCAUGCCGUGGUGGAAGUGGAAGUGGAACCACCUCCGCAGCAUCUCCUUCUUCCACGCCCUGACCGCCGCUGCGUGCUCGCCGUCCUCCUCGUGCCCGUCGGCGUCGGCGAACGACGGCUCCUUGCUGGCCACCAGCUCCCCGUCUCCGUCACUGUCUGGGAGAGAACGAUCCGGGUCCGGCUCGGCCACGGGCUUCACCUCCUCCGCCUCCCUGACCUCCUCUGCCAUGGGGAACCUGAGCGGCGCGUCACGGUAGACGCCGUGGUGGCGCUUCCACCAGAGGUGGUGGUGGAGGCUGCAGGGGCGGUGGCGGUGGUGCCGGUGGGACGGCAGGCGGAGGAAUUCUAACCCAUGCUGCUGCUGCUCCGCCGGGAGGACCUCCUCCUCGGUGGCGCUGGCGCCCGCCUCGGCGGGGAGGGUGGGGUUGGAUAGCCCAUUCUCGUCGCUGACGGCCACGGCGCCGGCGGCGGUUGAUUCGGGCUC
rnacentral:lncRNA from 1 species